rnacentral:rRNA from 1 species
AUUGAACGCUGGCGGCAGGCCUAACACAUGCAAGUCGAACGGUAACAGAAAGCAGCUUGCUGCUUUGCUGACGAGUGGCGGACGGGUGAGUAAUGUCUGGGAAACUGCCUGAUGGAGGGGGAUAACUACUGGAAACGGUAGCUAAUACCGCAUAACGUCGCAAGACCAAAGAGGGGGACCUUCGGGCCUCUUGCCAUCGGAUGUGCCCAGAUGGGAUUAGCUAGUAGGUGGGGUAACGGCUCACCUAGGCGACGAUCCCUAGCUGGUCUGAGAGUAUGACCAGCCACACUGGAACUGAGACACGGUCCAGACUCCUACGGGAGGCAGCAGUGGGGAAUAUUGCACAAUGGGCGCAAGCCUGAUGCAGCCAUGCCGCGUGUAUGAAGAAGGCCUUCGGGUUGUAAAGUACUUUCAGCGGGGAGGAAGGGAGUAAAGUUAAUACCUUUGCUCAUUGACGUUACCCGCAGAAGAAGCACCGGCUAACUCCGUG